GGUACAUCGGUGACAGUGGUGCAUGGUUGUCGUCAGCUCGUGUCGUGAGAUGUUGGGUUAAGUCCCGCAACGAGCGCAACCCCUAUUGUUAGUUGCCAUCAUUCAGUUGGGCACUCUAGCGAGACUGCCGGUAAUAAACCGGAGGAAGGUGGGGAUGACGUCAAAUCAUCAUGCCCCUUAUGACCUGGGCUACACACGUGCUACAAUGGUUGGUACAACGAGUUGCGAGUCGGUGACGGCGAGCUAAUCUCUUAAAGCCAAUCUCAGUUCGGAUUGUAGGCUGCAACUCGCCUACAUGAAGUCGGAAUCGCUAGUAAUCGCGGAUCAGCACGCCGCGGUGAAUACGUUCCCGGGCCUU
rnacentral:rRNA from 1 species